GAUGAACGCUGGCGGCGUGCCUAAUACAUGCAAGUCGAACGAACGUACGAUAAGCUUUCUUCUCUGCUGUUGGCGGCUGACGGGUGGGUAACACGUGGAUCGCCUACCUAUAUUUCUUGGAUCACUUCGUGAAACCGCAUCUGAUACCGGCUCAUAUUUUGAACCGCAUUGUUCAACAGUUCAUGACGGUCUUGCUGUCUCUUAUAGAUGAUUACGCGCUGCAUUAGCUAGUUGGUAAGGUAACGGCUUACCAAGGCAACGAUGCAUAUCCGACCUGAGAGGGUGAUAGGCCACACUGGAACUGAGACACGGUCCAGACUCCUACGGGAGGCAGCAGUAGGGAAUAUUCGGCAAUGGGCGAAAGCCUGAUGCAGCAAUGCCGCGUGAGUGAUGAAGGCCUUCGGAUCGUAAAACUCUGUUAUUAGGGAAGAACAGAUGUGGAAUAAAAUGUGGAUAUCCUGACGGUACCCAAUGAAAAAGCAACGGCUAACUACGUG
rnacentral:rRNA from 1 species